CCUGGUUGAUCCUGCCAGUAGUCAUAUGCUUGUCUCAAAGAUUAAGCCAUGCAUAUGUAAGUAUGAACAAAUUCAGACUGUGAAACUGUGAAUGGCUCAUUAAAUCAGUUAUAGUUUGUUUGAUGGUAACUGCUACUCGGAUAAUCGUAGUAAUUCUAGAGCUAAUACAUGCAACAAACCCCGACUUUUGGAAGGGACGCAUUUAUUAGAUAAAAGGUCGAUACGGACUCUGUCCGUUGCUCUGAUGAUUCAUGAUAACUCGAUGGAUCGCAUGGCCUUUGUGCUGGCGACGCAUCAUUCAAAUUUAUGCCCUAUCAACUUUUGAUGGUAGGAGAGUGGCCUACCAUGGUGGUAACGGGUGACAGAGAAUUAGGGUUCGAUUCCGGAGAGGGAGCCUGAGAAACGGCUACCACAUCCAAGGAAGGCAGCAGGCGCGUAAAUUGCCCAAUCCUGACACUGGGAGGUAGUGACAAUAAAUAACAAUACCGGGCUUUCGAGUCUGGUAAUUGGAAUGAGUACAAUCUAAAUCCUUUAGCGAGGAUCCAUUGGAGGGCAAGUCUGGUGCCAGCAGCCGCGGUAAUUCCAGCUCCAAUAGUGUAUAUUUAAGUUGUUGCAGUUAAAAAGCUCUUAGUUGAACCUUGGGAUGGGUCGGCCGGUCUGCCUUUUGGUGAGCAUUGGUCGGCUUGUCCCUUCGGUCGGUGAUACGCUCCUGGUCUUAAUUGGUCGGGUCGUGCCUCCGGCGCUGUUGCUUUGAAGAAAUUAAAGUGCUCAAAGCAAGCCUACGCUCUGUAUACAUUAGCAUGGGAUAACAUCAUAGGAUUUCGAUCCUAUUGUGUUGGCCUUCGGGAUCGGAGUAAUGAUUAACAAACAUUAACACAACGUGACUAAGCAGAUAGAAAUUACGCUGUUAAUAAAAAAUAUGCAUUUGAUUAAUCAAGGAUACCACUAUAAAUAUGGAAUUUCUGUUUGGUUAUUUAUGAAUGUUUAAUGUAAUAUUAACAUGUAACUGAAAUGAGUAAUUUGGCUAUUUAUGUUUGAAACAAUCACAUUAAUACACUUUGUUUGUUACAUUUUUUUAGAAAUACAAUUCUGGAAAUGAUAUUUUCAGUUUUGUAUUUAACUUUGAUGUUUAAUUACUAAAUUAACCCUAUUAAUUUUAACAUUCUCAUCUUUUUGACGUAAUUGCACAGCCGUCGUCUUCUUCUUUACCAUAAAUCUCUCCUAACUCUCGGAGCUCCACUUCAAUAUCUCAUUAUCCAAUUAUCCACUCCCUCACACACUCUUCACCUCCCUUAAUCACGAUCCCACCGUCAAAUCACUUCCUUCUCCUUCUGCCAAUUCCCUAUAACCUCCACAAUCAGAGCCUCCUCAUCUCUGUCUUCUUUGCCGGAUCUCGACUCCUCAUCAUCCUCAGUCCUUCACUCUCCUAACGGCACUGACGCUGUCAAAAGCAGACGAGAGAUCCGCCGUAGUUACAGCG
rnacentral:rRNA from 1 species